rnacentral:lncRNA from 1 species
GAUCAUUGGAUGCCAGAAAGUGUACCUGGAAAUUGAAGUACAACACGAAGAAGGAGGAAUCAACAGCAGAUCAAGUAAUUAGCAGGAUAAAACAACAGGUCACAGCAGCAGGGAAUCAGUUUGGACUUAGUUAUAAACCCCAGAGAUAAUUUCAAACAAACCCGGACCAAUUUCAACCAAUACACCACCCAAAACAGCCCGAAAAAGCCCAAAACAAACUCAAAACCACCAAGGAUAAUUCCUGAACUUCAGCAAUUAGAAAUGUAUCUCUAUCUAGGCUAGAACUUUGAACUAACAACUGAAAUUUUGAAACUAAUCUUAGGAAACUUCAAUGUAACAGCAUUUUGUGGAGUUUUUCUAUUGCUUUUUUGCUUUUUUUUUCGGUUUUUAAAGAAAC